rnacentral:rRNA from 1 species
AAAUUGAAGAGUUUGAUCAUGGCUCAGAUUGAACGCUGGCGGCAGGCCUAACACAUGCAAGUCGAACGGUAACAGGAAGCAGCUUGCUGCUUUGCUGACGAGUGGCGGACGGGUGAGUAAUGUCUGGGAAACUGCCUGAUGGAGGGGGAUAACUACUGGAAACGGUGGCUAAUACCGCAUAAUGUCGCAAGACCAAAGAGGGGGACCUUCGGGCCUCUUGCCAUCAGAUGUGCCCAGAUGGGAUUAGCUUGUUGGUGAGGUAACGGCUCACCAAGGCGACGAUCCCUAGCUGGUCU